GGUGAGAUGGCUGAGCUGUCUAAGGUACCAGACUAAGGACCAAUGCGUUCGACGCGUACCUUGAAUCUGGUCAUUCGGGGCGUGAGUUCGAAUCUCACAGUUGUCA